UACUAUGUCGAACGGAAAAAUGGUGCGCCGUUAGGAAAACUUUACCAUAAAUAUCGCAAUUGGAAAAACAAUCUCAACCGGAAAUCGGCCGGUGAAAAGAGCACGAAGUCCGUAGAUGGAAAUCCAGCUAAAAAUUAUCCGAUUGGAGAAGACGAGGAAUUACACAUCCGUGCUCUGAAGCAUGAAAUGGCUACCAUGAGCUACGAGGAAAAAAUAGCUCAUUGGGUUGGAUGCGCUGCGACGCGGCUUAACGCUUUACGACAACAAGAGAACUCUUUGAAGCACGUAUUUGACGUUUGGUCACAAUACAAAAAUCCUGAUGGUUAUCGAAUGAUCGAAUCUGAUUUUGUGCACCUAUACGGCCAAAAAAAUGAGUUACUCGAUUCAUUGGAAAAGUUUGUGGACCUAAUGGUAGAAGAAAUUUUCCCCAAACAUCAUUCAUCAAUUAAGACGGCAGAAGAUAAAGAUUUGUUGAAAACACUAAAUGAUAAAAAAAGCAAUCUAUUAAAAAAUACUUCAGCCGCCAUAGUGUUCCGUCUAAUGCAAACGAUUUUGCCGUACUCCAGGAUCAGGAAUCAGCAACCAAUUGAGGCCAAACGACGAUUUUAUAGCGUUAAAGAGUCACAAGAGGCGUUCAUUAUGGUUUGCGCCACAGAAACUGAAUACAAACAGAAAUAUGAUGAGAAAGUUAAAAAAGAAUCCUCUAUACCGCCGUAUAUGACGGUCAUAGGAACGUUGGAAAAUUGUUCAUAUAUAAUGGUAGACUUCGAAAACAUAACCUACAAAUUUUAUAGCCUCGCGAAGGCUAUCGAUGUUAGCUUUAAAGCUUACCAUCUUUUUAAUUUUGCGUAUUCAGAAAGAUGUGAGCCCAUGUGGGAUUUUAUCAACAGAACGUUCUACCAUAUUAAGUAUAAUGGGGCCAAAACCAAACCGCCCACCUAUUUGUUGCUAAAUGAAAUAAAAGCUGCCAAAACUAAACAGAGCACCGUAAGCUGUGAUCAGUCUUCGGUAGCAUAAAUUUAACUUCGCUUAUACAGAACAGUACGAUCCUAUGUGCGAUUUGGUCAACUGAGAGUUCUAGGAGAUAGAAUAUUUCGGAACCUUCGCGAAACCAUCUUAACAUCCAACAUCAUUUUCAACAACAUAAAAAAACAUCAUAAAAGCACCGUGAAUCUUCGAUGCGUAAGCGUAAGCGAAUGGAAAGUUACUCUUUAGAUAAUUCCAGUGAGGGUCGAUGGAAAACCGGUUUUCCCAUACCAGUUAUUAUAAGUAAAUCUCUAGAUUUAAAUGUAAACAGAAUAUCUAUUUAACAUCCACAUGUUCAAAGAAA